ensembl:lncRNA
AGGCGGCAGAAGGCGGGGGCCGGAGGAGGAGGAAAAAGAGAAGGAGGAAGGGAAAGCCAAGAGGGUGGCGGGGCGGGGGUCGGAAGGGCGGUCAAGGUAGUCGGAGCUUCCUGCGGGGAGAAUUGGUGGCUCCCAGGGCGCGCGCCCAGACUGAAGAUGCAGUCCCUGAUACAAAUGCACACCCCGGGAUGCAUAAGAGCCCAGGCGCACGAACGUCAUCCAUGUGGCCAGACCAACUGACACCAUUUGAUGGUGCUGUCACUUCUCAUCUCUUUCUUAGCAAAGGCUCACAUAAAUUUCUACUUUGGCCCAGAAACGUACUCCGUUUUCCAUGAAGACCAAGGUAAGCUAAGAUGGCCUCACACCCUUUUCCACUUGUCAUCUUUUUCUUCCAUAUAAACUGGAAACAAUAGGCACAGUUACUUUCUGUCAUUUAUUUCAUAAACAUCCGCUUGGCACCUACCAUACCUUCUAUUAAUAUGGGUACCUGUCCAAGGACGUGAUGAGCCUUCCAGAGCUGCAACGCUAGAUCUGGGAGGACUCACAGUAUAUUGUACCCCAGCCUCACCCCAACAAAUGCCUGUCCUGGAGUGGGAGCGGGAGGGUAGGUUACCAUGAGCCAUCUGAAAACACGUUCAGAUUCUCCUAUUUGGUUUGGGUGACCUACCAAACACAAUAGAAACAAUUGUCACACUGCUUGAGUUCUGUGAUGUCUAAGAAACCUCUCCUCUACACUUUUUCGAGGGAGAGACAAUAUGGUUAAGAUCAAGGGAUUAAUUUAAUUAAAGGUUUAAAUUUAGCCUUGGAGCUAAUAGGUAACUUUGCAUUGAAAUUCCACUCCAUUUCAAGUUUAGGAAAGUAAACUGAGUAAUGUAGAGCAAAUACACCCUUCCAGAGACAGGCAUCCAGCUCAGAGGAUGAGAUACAGGUGUGUUCAGGUUACAAUUGCUUAGGACAAGCAUGACACAUGACCCUUUACAUGAACAAUUGUUCAUUUUUUUAUUUUAUGCCAUUUUUAGACCUUUUGAAAGGUGGAACCCAGUGUCUAUUUAUAGCAGCCUUACUGCAGCUAAGUGACCAGCUCUGUGUUAUUUCAUUAGGAUUUUAAUUACUCUGUUUAACUGCUUGAAACUUCCAAGCUGCUUUAUUAUAGCUAACUUAAUUUACCUGACCACUGCUCUGGUUGUCCUAGCAGGCAGUGUUAAAUAAAACACCAGCUCUGCAUGUGUAACAGAAAAAAUGAUUUUUUUAAUUAUAAAAAUGAUACAUGUUAAUUACAGAACAUUUAGAGAGUAAGAUAAGCAAAGAGAAGGGGGGGAGCAUCAUUAACAAUCUCAUCUCCUAUGGAAAUAACUAUUACAAUUUUGGUGUCUGUCCUGUGUGUAUUUUUAAACAAAAGUGAAAGCGGUCUGUUUGUGUCUUGUGAUUUUUGCUGCUGUGUUAUGAUUAUCUUUCCUUUUAGGAUAUUCUUCUACAGCAUCAUUUUAGUGACUGCACAGUGUUCGAUUUGAUGGAGAAUCUAAUUAUUAAGCCUGUGCCCUAUAUUGAACAUUUAGGUUGUUUCCUCUUUUGCUGUUAUAAAGAGUAGUGAUGACAUCCUUUGUUUGUCUAAAUCUUGCUACCAUCCAAUAUUAGUCUAUCAGGUUAAAUAGAUGCUGGGGCAAAGGACAUAUGUUUUUAAGGCUUUCUAUCCAGAAAAGUUGUUCUAAUUUGCUUCGUCACUCUUGCUAGCAUUGGAUAUUAAAAUUUUUAUCAAUAUUCAUUUCCUUGCCCAUUUGAUGCAACCCUUAGGCUAUUUUUAGGGUGAAGUAUGCAAACUAAUUUCAAAUAUUUAUUAAAACAUCAAACAAGAAUUAAUAUCGAUUUAACCUCCAAACUGUUCCUGUAAUCUUUUUAUGGAGAUCAGAAGAGAUACAAUUUACUGUUCACCUAAUAUGUGCUAGCCACAGAAUAUUUCUAAUUCUUAUGACAACUCUCCAAUGGGGGAUGUGAGAGAGAUUAUCAUCAACAGAGUACAGAUGAGGCUCAGAAAAAUUAAACCAUUUACCCAAGUUCACCAGCUCCUAACGUGGCUGGGCCAGUAUGCAGAUCUGACUCCAAGACCCAUCCAUAUUCUCACGCCCUCUGCUGGUGAGGAUGUUUUAUGGGGGGGAGGGGCCUGUCUCCAUAAUUAAUCUCACAUUCAUAUUUGAGAGUCAGCUAUAAUGGAAAUAAAACAGGCUUUGGGGGAAGGGGAUCUGAAUUUCAAGAGUAAGUCUCUUAACUUCUCCAAGCCAGUUUCCUCUGGGUUAUUCUGAGGUACAAAUGAGGUUGCUUGAGAAACAUUUUAUAAACUUGAACGUACUUUAAAAAAUGUCUGUUAUUGGGAGUUCCCGUUGUGGCCAGUGGAUUAAGAACCCAAUAUACUGUCUGUGAGGAUAUGGGUUCGAUCCCUGGCUUUGCUCAGCGGGUUUAGGAUUCAGCAUUGCCGCAAGCUGGGGCGUAGGUCGUAGAUGCGGCUUGAGUCCAGUAUUGCUGUGGUUGUAGGGUUGCCUGGCAGCUAUAGCUCCUAUUCACCCCUAGCCCAGGAACUUCUUGCUACACAAGCUUCUUACACUAUCUUCCUACAAAGAGGAUAAGAAGAAAUGUAACCUUUAGCCCUUGUGCCCUUGACACUGAAAGUCAUGAAAACCAAACCUCAGGACACAUUUAAGUAAAAUUAUAAGGCAGACUUUGAUUAAGUGAUUGAAGGAGCAAUCUGACUGGGACUGUCAAGGUGAUUAUGGUGUGAAAAGGGAGCUUUUUAUUUGAGGGUAGGUGUCAGGCAAGAGCCAGGAUUUAAGAUGACCUGGGGAAUGAGGGAAGCAAGGAAGGACCGUUUAGGAAAAGGAAAUUCUGCAAAUUCCUCGUGGACUGCAGACGUAGAGGACUAAAGCUUGAAGUGUAAUUUUUACUGGUUUGCCAAGGUUUGGUUUUUUUUUUUUUCCAUUUACUUUCAUUUUGCUUGCCUCUUCCAAGCACCCAUUCUGAAAACUGUAAUUGCAUGCACAAACUGUUUUGAUGGACACAUAUGGGAGUCAACUUAAAAAAAAAAGAAAAA